UUAUUCAAGAAUAGUUUUGUUUGUCCUGCCCUGCUAUUUCUUUAAGGAGAUCGUACGUAUGUAGUGGAAAGGGCACAAAGAGACCCAGCCUCCUAGUCUCUCGUACCGGCAUCCAGCCGCCUGCUUAGGGACAGGAAGUCGGCCAUGCCGAGAAGGUCGUUCUGAAUGGAAGUGGAAGGACGGCCACAGAAACGGACAGGAAGUUGGCCAUCCCGGGGAGGUCGGUGUGUAAGACAGUGGAGGACUACUGCGCAUGUGUGACUGGAAGUUGGCAGGCCCUAGGAGUAGGUAACCCAAAACACUCGAAGAGCCACUUGGACCCAUUUACAACCGAAAACAUCUUUUAUGACUCAUGGACUUCUACUCCCAGAAUUCCUGAGUCAGCAUAGCUGGGCUCGCUAGCUCUCUCCUGCC